UAGGGAAUCUUCGGCAAUGGACGAAAGUCUGACCGAGCAACGCCGCGUGAGUGAAGAAGGUUUUCGGAUCGUAAAACUCUGUUGUUAGAGAAGAACAAGGACGUUAGUAACUGAACGUCCCCUGACGGUAUCUAACCAGAAAGCCACGGCUAACUACGUGCCAGCAGCCGCGGUAAUACGUAGGUGGCAAGCGUUGUCCGGAUUUAUUGGGCGUAAAGCGAGCGCAGGCGGUUUCUUAAGUCUGAUGUGAAAGCCCCCGGCUCAACCGGGGAGGGUCAUUGGAAACUGGGAGACUUGAGUGCAGAAGAGGAGGGUGGAAUUCCAUGUGUAGCGGUGAAAUGCGUAGAUAUAUGGAGGAACACCAGUGGCGAAGGCGGCUCUCUGGUCUGUAACUGACGCUGGGGCUCGAAAGCGUGGGGAGCAAACAGG
rnacentral:rRNA from 1 species